AAACACCGGACGGGAGAGUCCCCAUCGCAUCUGACGAUGGGGCGCCGAAGGGGCAAACUCCCCGGAACCUCUCAGGCGCCAGGACCGCCCGGAUCAG
rnacentral:ncRNA from 1 species